rnacentral:lncRNA from 1 species
GCAUUCGCUAUACCGAUAUUCCAUAGACCCCUUUGCGUAUACCGGAAUGCCGUGCACGCUAAAAUUCUCUAAUAGAGCUAAUUGAGACACACCAGCAAGUAUGGCCCAUGCAUGUGUCCGCGGGCACCACCUCAUUGCUGCUUGGAACGGCGUCCAUUUUUGAAUCGCUGUUUUGCAAAGGGUCGAAGCAAAAAUGAUUCGCGACAUCGCUUAUCGCGGUGAUUCCAAGUUCCAGAAUGUCGUCUUCAACACUAGUCGAUACUUCUGACGGCGACGACGGCGAUGCUGGUGACAAGGCAUGACUGAACGUGCGCGCCUAGCAAACGAAAUGUUAGCUGAGCAGCUGAUCCUCACAUCACUUCUUCCUGUGGACAAGUGGUCAACUGGGGCACGGUCUGGAGUUGACCGCGAGGAAGCACUGCCAGCGCUAAAAAAUGGCGGGCUUGCCGGCCGUUUUGAAUCGUGCUAGAUACCGGUGAUAUAAAUCAAUAAAACAGAUAGUUAUUCGUCCCUCGGUUGCAUUUUCGGUCGCGAAUUGCUACUAGGGGGUAGAUAACUACUUAUGGAUGCAAAAAUCUUAUAAGCACGAAAUGUAGGGUGCCUAAACAGCCUACUAUGUACAGCAGUCCAAAUGAUUUAUUCGCGUAGUACCAAUUGUUUGUUGCCAGGUGAUGUGACGUGGCAGUUUUUAUGACUUUCAAGUGCAAUUUAAAAAUACAAAUCCUAUUUGUGUCUAGAAAAGGAUGCUCAAUUCUAUCACUAUUAUUCACAGUCUUUUCACUUCCACCAGUGUCUUGUGACAUGUUCUGACCAGCUGUCAGUCUCCAUAACAUUUACAAGUGUUCAGUUUCAUGAACCACUUGUUGCAUUGCAGUGUCAAAACAUCCUGAGGGUUAUUAUUUACACGAUGAAUCACACAGUCAUAAGCAAAGAGCUUAAUGCUAGCAUCGAUACCGAUCGGCAAACAAAAAAAUUUUUUACACAAAACUUAACUUCGAAAUCAUUGUUCUGGGUCUAAAAUCUGCGCCUACAAUAAAUUUCAUCAACAUCAGGAAUGGGGACUGGAACCUCAUGAUUGUUCUUGUCUGGACACAUCCACCAGCACAGUCAAUAUGUAGUAAGUCAUGGUUUACAUUGUCAGUACAUACUGGUUCUUAUAUGAGAAAUAUAGCUGCGAUAAGCACCGAGGACUUCAGCAUGGUCACUUUGCUGAAAGAUGCAAUGCAGUGUAAGCAUGCAGGGAAUAAAUGCUUUGAA